rnacentral:rRNA from 1 species
CGCUGGCGGCGUGCCUAAUACAUGCAAGUCGAACGCUGCUUAAGAAGAAACUUCGGUUUUUUCUUAAGNGGAGUGGCGGACGGGUGAGUAACACGUGGGGAACCUAUCNAUCAGCGGGGGAUAACACUUGGAAACAGGUGCUAAUACCGCAUANGGCUUUUUUUCACCUGAAAGAAAGCUCAAAGGCGCUUUACAGCGUCACUGAUGGCUGGUCCCGCGGUGCAUUANCCANUUGGUGAGGUAACGGCUCACCAAAGCAACNAUGCAUACCCGACCUGAGAGGGUGAUCGGCCACACUGGGACUGANACACGGCCCANACUCCUACGGGAGGCAGCAGUAGGGAAUCUNCGGCAAUGGACGCAAGUCUGACCGAGCAACGCCGCGUGAGUGAAGAAGGUUUUCGGAUCGUAAAGCUCUGUUGUCAGCAAAGAACAGGAGAAAGAGGAAAUGCUUUUUCCAUGACGGUAGCUGACCAGAAAGCCACGGCUAACUACGUGCCAGCAGCCGCGGUAAUACGUAGGUGGCAAGCGUUGUCCGGAUUUAUUGGGCGUAAAGCGAGCGCAGGCGGUGAUUUAAGUCUGAUGUGAAAGCCCCCAGCUCAACUGGGGAGGGUCAUUGGAAACUGGAUCACUUGAGUGCANAAGAGGAGAGUGGAAUUCCAUGUGUAGCGGUGAAAUGCGUAAAUAUAUGGAGGAACACCAGUGGCGAAGGCGGCUCUCUGGUCUGUAACUGACGCUGAGGCUCGAAAGCGUGGGUAGCAAACAGGAUUAGAUACCCUGGUNGUCCACGCCGUAAACGAUGAGUGCUAAGUGUUGGAGGGUUUCCGCCCUUCAGUGCUGCAGUUAACGCAUUAAGCACUCCGCCUGGGGAGUACGACCGCAAGGUUGAAACUCAAAGGAAUUGACGGGGGCCCGCACAAGCGGUGGAGCAUGUGGUUUAAUUCGAAGCAACGCGAAGAACCUUACCAGGUCUUGACAUCCUUUGACCGCCCUAGAGAUAGGGUUUCCCCUUCGGGGGCAAAGUGACAGGUGGUGCAUGGUUGUCGUCAGCUCGUGUCGUGAGAUGUUGGGUUAAGUCCCGUAACGAGCGCAACCCUUAUUGUUAGUUGCCAGCAUUGAGUUGGGCACUCUAGCAAGACUGCCGGUGACA